rnacentral:rRNA from 1 species
GACAGAGGUGCCAAGCGUUAGGCGGAAUCACUGGGCUUAAAGCGUGUGUAGGCGGAUGUCUAAGUACCUUGUGAAAUCCCACGGCUCAACCGUGGAACUGCUUGGUAUACUGGAUGUCUUGAGCCAUCUAGGGGGCUACCGGAACAAAUGGUGGAGCGGUGAAAUGCGUAGAUAUCAUUUGGAACGCCAAUGGUGAAAACAGGUAGCUGGGGGAUGUGCUGACGCUGAGACACGAAAGCCAGGGGGAGCGAACGGG